rnacentral:rRNA from 1 species
UACGACGGGGGCUAGCGUUGUUCGGAAUUACUGGGCGUAAAGCGCGCGCAGGCGGCUAUCCAAGUCAGUGGUGCAAGCCCGGAGCUCAACUCCGGAACUGCCAUUGAAACUGUUUAGCUUGAGGACGAGAGAGGUGAGUGGAAUUCCCAGUGGAGAGGUGAAAGGCGUAGAUAUGGGGAAGAACACCGGUGGCGAAGGCGGCUCACGGGCGCGUAUCUGACGCUCAGGCGCGACAGCGUGGGGAUCAAACAGG